UACGGAGGGUGCGAGCGUUGUCCGGAAUCAUUGGGCGUAAAGAGCGUGUAGGCGGCCAUACAGGUCAGCUGUGAAAACUCGAGGCUCAACCUCGAGACGUCGGUUGAAACCGUGUGGGCUAGAGUCCGGAAGAGGAGAGUGGAAUUCCCGGUGUAGCGGUGAAAUGCGCAGAUAUCGGGAAGAACACCCGUGGCGAAGGCGGCUCUCUGGGACGGUACUGACGCUGAGGUGCGAAAGCGUGGGGAGCAAACAGG
rnacentral:rRNA from 1 species